GAUGAACGCUAGCGGCAGGCCUAAUACAUGCAAGUCGAACGAUACCAGAGAGCUUGCUUUCUGGGAAAGUGGCGCACGGGUGCGUAACGCGUAUGCAACCUACCUUAAUCAGGGGGAUAGCCUCUCGAAAGAGAGAUUAACACCGCAUAAAAAUCACACUUCGGCAUCGAAGAAUGAUCAAAUNUUUAUAGGAUUAAGAUGGGCAUGCGUGACAUUAGCUAGUUGGUAAGGUAACGGCUUACCAAGGCUACGAUGUCUAGGGGAUCUGAGAGGAUGACCCCCANACUGGUACUGAGACACGGACCAGACUCCUACGGGAGCAGCAGUAAGGAAUA
rnacentral:rRNA from 1 species